rnacentral:lncRNA from 1 species
GCUCCGCGCUCUUUCUGUCGGCCGGGAAAAUGCAGCCCGAGGUGGCAGAGAGGUGGAAGGAGGACUGAGGCCGAGGCUCCGGUCUCCCUCUGUCCGCCUCACCCUGGGGCCGCCGAGCCCUGUCCAAGAGAAGGGAACCGGGAGUUAGGACUGGACACGUGGGGUGGUGACUCCCUGUCAGAAUCUGUCUGCUUUUGUUCACUCUCCAAUGCCUUCGGAGAGUUGUUCUUCGGUGUAUUUUCAUCCAGAGUUUAUAUCCAGUCCAGCAUAGUGGCUUACUAGGACACACCAUGAUACAGUGAGUAGGUGGCUGUCUACAAGCCAGGAAAAGAGCUCUCAGUGGAAACAGAAUUGGCUGGCAUCUUGAUCUUGGACUUCUUAGCCUCUAGAAAUUAUAUUCUUUGGAAAGAAGUCCACACAUUGUCUCUUGACUCAUAUUGUUGCUGACAUCUCGCUACUCCAGGAUCCCAUCGUGUGCAUUGAGAUCAGGGAACCUAUCUUAACAGAUGCCUACCACAGCAUGGCUUUUGCCAAGAGGUGCCAUGUCUGCACCCGGGAUCCGAACCAGCGACCCCCAGGCGGCCAAGAAGCGAAAUGUGCAAACUUAACUGCUGCACCACCGGGCUGGCCCCCUCAUUUCUUUAUAGCCAUUACUCCACCAAGAGUUAUCACUGCACUGACUUCUAACAGCGUGGAUAUUUGGGUAGUUUCCAGUUUAGGGCUAUUACAAGGU